rnacentral:snoRNA from 1 species
UUGCAUCAGUUAGGCUGAAUGUGCUGUUCCUCACAGGGCCCAGUGUGCAAUGGCUGCAAACAGCAGCCUCCUUGGCUAUUGCCUGUACAGGUUACCCUAAGGGAUAUUGGAGAUAACU